rnacentral:rRNA from 1 species
AGAACGAACGCUGGCGGCAUGCCUAAUACAUGCAAGUCGAACGAAGGCUUCGGCCUUAGUGGCGCACGGGUGCGUAACGCGUGGGAAUCUGCCCCUUGGUUCGGAAUAACAGUUGGAAACGACUGCUAAUACCGGAUGAUGACGAAAGUCCAAAGAUUUAUCGCCAAGGGAUGAGCCCGCGUAGGAUUAGCUAGUUGGUGAGGUAAAGGCUCACCAAGGCGACGAUCCUUAGCUGGUCUGAGAGGAUGAUCAGCCACACUGGGACUGAGACACGGCCAGACUCCGUACGGGAGCAGCAGGUAGGAAUAGUUGGACAAGUGGGACGAAAGCCUAGACUCCGAGCAAUCGCCGCGUAGAGUGA